rnacentral:tRNA from 1 species
GGAAUUGUGGCUAAGUGGUAAAGCACUUGCCUGGCAUGUGUGAGGCACUGGGUUAGAUUCUCAGCACCA